ensembl:misc_RNA Metazoa_SRP Metazoan signal recognition particle RNA
GAAGCAUUGGCAUGCACCUGUAGUCCCAGCUGCUCCGGAGGCUGAGACACGAGGAUCACUUGAGCCCAGGAGUUCUAAGCCCUAGUGCGCUAGGCUGAUCAGGUGUCUGCAUGAAACUUUGGCAUCAAUACAGUGACCUCCUGGAGCAGGGAACCACCAGGUUGCCUAAAGAGUGGUGAACUGGCCCAGGUCAGAAAUGGAGCAGGUCAAACCUCCCGUGCUGAUCAAUAGUGGGACUGCACAUUACAAUACAGUGUGAAUAGCUGCUGCACUCCAGCCAGGACAACAUAACAAGACACCACCUCU